rnacentral:misc_RNA from 1 species
AACUUUUGACAAUGGAUCACUAUGCGGUUCACGUGGACCUGAAUGCGCGCAGCGAUGAGCGCGAAGAAAAAGCACUGACGGCGAAUCUGCAAUUUGCGGAGAGCGUGGGGGCGAAACCGGUGCGGCUGAAGGGCGAAAAUGUCGCCGACGCGACGGCGAAAUUCGUACGCGAAAAACAUGUGACACAAGUCAUAUUUGGAAGGACCGCCGUAGAAGGUUGGCGAAAAAUGCUCUACUUGAAUGCCAUCAACCGAUUUUUGCGCGACGCGCCGGCGGUGGACGUUCACAUUGUGACGCAAGAGCCGGAUUAAGGCAGGCCGCGGUGUUCGAAGCGCUUAAGCAUAUCAAUAAGCGGAGGCU